AUUGAACGCUGGCGGCAUGCUUUACACAUGCAAGUCGAACGGCAGCGCGGGGCAACCUGGCGGCGAGUGGCGAACGGGUGAGUAAUACAUCGGAACGUACCCAGAAGUGGGGGAUAACGUAGCGAAAGUUACGCUAAUACCGCAUACGUUCUACGGAAGAAAGUGGGGGACCUUCGGGCCUCAUGCUUUUGGAGCGGCCGAUGUCUGAUUAGCUAGUUGGCGAGGUAAAGGCUCACCAAGGCGACGAUCAGUAGCUGGUCUGAGAGGACGACCAGCCACACUGGGACUGAGACACGGCCCAGACUCCUACGGGAGGCAGCAGUGGGGAAUUUUGGACAAAGGGCGCAAGCCUGAUCCAGCAAUGCCGCGUGAGUGAAGAAGGCCUUCGGGUUGUAAAGCUCUUUUGUCAGGGAAGAAACGGCUGAGGAUAAUACCUUCGGCUAAUGACGGUACCUGAAGAAUAAGCACCGGCUAACUACGUG
rnacentral:rRNA from 1 species